AUUAGGCUUGGUCUGUGGCAGAAUGGUGCCCAAGCAGGGACCCCUGGACAGGAUGACAUGUCAUGCAAUAUUAAAAUGAAAAGUGACUUUGUGUGCUGGUAUAAGAAGAUCUUGAAGAUAGAGAUGACAGACCACCUGGACAAUGCUUCCUGAUCGUUUUUGUUAAAGAUGCUUGUAAAUCUUAUCUCAUCUAGAGCAAGUGACCGAGGUCAGUUCCCAGUAAGCUGCCACCUUUUCCUCAGCUACCACUUCAGAAUUCAAGGGGUGUCCUCGGUGUUCUGUAUGACCCAAGGAAUCCAUUGAGCACCUAUGGCAAGAUCAAGAUGCCUUAAACACAGGACCUCCUCCUGUCAUCGCGAGCUGACCCAGAAGUCGCAGCCAGCACAGACCCACUGCGGCCUGGGAAAGAUGCAGCUUUCACAGUACUCUUUCACGUCUGGGAUGUCUUUGGCAUCUUCAUCUGCAUACCUUCUUUUGCUGCAGGAACACUCUGCUUGGACUGUCACCCUGAAUCGGGAGGCUCCUGGCACUUUGCCCUUCUGCUUGUUGACAUCCCCUGAAGGAGGAGUUCUCAGGACACAUCAGGUGAAUUCUAGCCAUAACAUCAGGCUCCAAAGAGUUUUCUAGCUAAUAAUGUCCACUAUUGAAGACGUUUCGUUCUUGUCUAUUUGCUGGAUGCCUGGGUUAGCAGAAGCUUGUCUAAGGAGUCACUGCCUGUGUUGAAGUGGGCUCUGCAGUGAAAUAGCUGUUGGGAAGUUACCCAAGCUCCUGUAAGUAACCUCACACUGGACUCCUUAGCAACCCCGAAGGAAGCUCAGUAGAUCCUCAAGUUGAAUGUCUGCACAGUUG
rnacentral:lncRNA from 1 species